GGGUCCCCUAGGUCGCGGGGCAGCCGGGGCGGAAGGGGCUUGUUCAUUAUUUUGAGAGUUUGUUGUGAACGUCAUAACCUUUCGUCCUUAAAUAUUGCCGAUACUUGACCUACGCAAGAGACAAUGUCAUGUGAUUCAGCCUAAUAUCUCAGAGGAUGCAGCAUUCAAGGUUCUAUCUUGGAAGCAGAGACUGUGCCCUCACCAGAUGCUGAACCUGCUGAGCACCCUGAUCUUCCACUUCACCUUCAUCAGAACUGUCUUUGAGGAAUUGUCACACUGUCUUCUGCAAUGGAUGAACUAAUUUACACUCUCAACAACAGUGUAUAAGCAUUCCUUUUGCUCUGCAACCUCACCAGACAUCUGGACGCGCAUGAAAUUUGGUGCCGUGACUCGGAUCGGCGGACCUCCCUUAGGAGAUCAAUCCCCUGUCCUCCUGCUCUUUGCUCCAUGAGAAAGAUCCACCUACGACCUAAGGUCCUCAGACCAACCAGCCCAAGAAACAUCUCACCAAUUUCAAAUCCGAAAUCCUUCAUCUAAUCUGGCAAACACAUGUGGCAGGUUUUUCUCACCGCAUAAAAUAUGUUAUAGAGUAGUCCAUCUAUUUCUCUUCCAUGGAAGAGUUCAUCUGGUAGAUUGGACUACCACUUUUCCUUGUGAGUAUAUUGAUUAUGUGUCCCUACCUGUUAUUAUUUGACUUACACUCUCUCUGUCCCUGAGAGUAUUCCUCGUGCAUUAGCGUUGGGAUUGGAUACACAAUUUAUAUGAGAAAUAAAUCUUUGUUGUUGCA
rnacentral:lncRNA from 1 species